rnacentral:lncRNA from 1 species
GUGCUACUACCAGUAUGAAUCAACCUCUUACCUCAUAAAUAGUGAGCAAGCCCAGGGGCUUCUGGGCUCUUCUGUAGGACAGUCUCCUGUGUGAUGGAUCGCCUCUAACGUAAGGGUGGCUCUUGAAGUUAUGCCUGUUUUGGUGCUGUGUGAUGCCUUGCUGAUACAGACCUUUGAGUGGGCAGCGUGGAAGAAGUGUGAAAAAGUAGCAGGAGAAGGAGGCAAAGAGGCAUUUCUGAAUAAGUUGUUGUGACAGAAGAAAUGGAAGAAUAAAAAUUCAGCAGAAAACA